rnacentral:lncRNA from 1 species
CUUUUACGUCGGCCUUCGCGAGCGUCUGGGCGGGUGGUAGGUGAGUGGGUAUUGCGGGCUAGUAUCCGAGCAAAAGAUGGUGGCGCAGGCCGAGUUAAGAGCUUUAAUCCUGUGAAGACAUCUUAGUGAAGAGUUUAGAGUGCUGAGAGUUGAAAGCUUGCACGUGGGAAACGUGCGGCCGGACUGCCACAUGUACUGAGGUUGAGUCGUGACGGCCACAGGCUCCGAGUUUUGGCGUGAGGAACCGCUGAUCGGCCACGGGCGCCGAACUUGCUGGCCUCCGGCAUGUGCCUGAGCGGCGGCGGAAAAACCACCUUAAUUGGGGCGGAGGGUUAGUUUUAACAGCAAAGGGCCUUUACUAAAAUGGCGAAGGCCUUCCGUCGGCGUUGUUUUAAAAUGGGAAGCCUCGACCCUGUAUUGAAACUGAGCUGUUCGAAGGCGGCGUUGUGUGCAAUUCGGAUUAAUGAAGGGGAAGGGUUUUGUGUGGAAAAACGCCUUGGAGUGUGACAUUUCUGCGAGAAUGCUUAAAUACCGAUUUCCCGCAGGAACAAUGGCGCUGUCUUCAGUGGCACAGUGGAGCAGCUCUGAAGAUGCAAAGUGAGGGUCGCUGUCUGCCCAUUGAUAGAGGCCAGAUUGUCUUGGAAGUUCCAAAGUUGCAACGAUUUCUGGCUAGUGCCACGAGGUUUACUUGACUGUUGUGUGAAAAGCUGAUAAGAAAACCAUCCAGAAAAAAGCUCUUCGUUUUACAAACAUGAAAAUAAAACAUGUAAUUUUGGA